CUCGGGCCGCCACGCCUGCACGCGCACGCGCACACUUAGACCGCCGCGCCCCUCUGCGAGCCCAUCCCCUCCCGGUGGCGCUGCACGCGUCGCCUCUGCCCCCUGCCAGUCGGUCCCACACGCCCCUGGAUGCCGAGGGAGGGCGGCGAGGACAGUCAGUACACGUCCCUCAUGCCCUCGGCUACAGCCCGGCCUUCUGCAACCUUUAGGCACCGGGUCUAGCCUCACUCCUGGCACUCCCUCCCCGUCGCGCCUUGGCGUCCUGCGGGGCAUACACUCGCCCCGUGGUCCUGGAGCGACUGGGUGGUAGCCCGCGGUGACCUGAGGCUUCGCGGGUUCUUCCCCAGCGCCAGCCGACCGGGUCUAGUCCUGGUUGCGGGGCGCUGGGCAGCCAGGGUGGGUGGAUGUGUUAGGUUUCUGUCUUGAUACGAGUGUGGGGUGUGAGGAUGCACUGAGUGGUUUGUAAUGUCCAUGUAGCCAUAGACGUUACACGCCAGUCGUGCAGUCGUGGGGUGUGGGGGGGGGCGGACGCCCCAGUGUGUGAGCCUGAUUAACUGCAUCGGUUGAACACGGGUAUGUGUGUGGCAGUAUGGUGGGCUGGAAUGGCGUAGUGAGUUUAUGCAUGGACUAUAUGUGUGGAGUUGACACGGACGUGGGUACACAGACUGCCAUGUGGCUCAGCCUGACCAAUGGGUGUGGCUGCCAAGGCUGCAGCUCUCCCUCCCACCUCCCCCCAGUCAGCUCCUUAGUCUUCCCUGCUGGCCACAACUUGCUUCAAAUAGGUUUUCCAUCCCAGGCUGAACCAGAGAAGAGAAAAGGAAUCUUUCCUCCCGGAGCAGUGCGGGGAAUUGGCUUCCCCUACGGCCGGUACCCAGUCUAAAACCCGAAAGGAGGGAACGCCCUCCCUCUGCUUCCUUGCCGAAUGCUGCUCUGGGCCCAGGAAAAUGCCUGUAAUUGCAGGGGUCGGGAACAGAACCCCUCAGCACAAAUGCUGGGCUGGAACUGUGCUUUCCUAAGGCCUCCUUUCCCUCACUUUACACUCUUCUGUUUGGCAAUGAGAUCUAUCCUGGUCUUAAACGAAAUUCAUCCUCAAACUCUGAAAAUUCUUUGCUGCCAUAAGCAAUCUUUCCUAAUUUUCCCUUUUAUUUAACCUUGGCUUAGGAAGAGAAAUCUAAUUUGCAUAUGUCUGACUCUGUGAAAUCUUCACGCGUCAGGGAUUGAGGGAAACUCAGAGGGCAAAGGCUGUUUUCAAACAACUGUCCCUUUUAAGUGACAAAUUCUGGCUUCCCGCUAACCUAACAUUGAAACCGAGGUAAACACAAAGUGUCUUGCUUUACCUGCCUUCCAGGUGUCUGCCUGCUGAAGUCCCAGAGCAGCUCGCUGCUGACUCCGAUAGCAUCCGUCCCGCAGCCUUGCCGUAGGACCACUUUCCCCAGAGGGCCCUACCCACUUCGUUCAUCGAUAAGAAAAUGCUCCCGCACGCAGCCUUGCAGAUAAACCAGUCUGAUGGACGGUCUGAUGGACAGUCUGAUGGAGGCCUUAUCUCUGUGGAGGACCCUCUUCCUGAAGGAUGGAUGACCUGAGCUUGUAUCAAGUUGACAGAAACUGAACAGCACAGACCUUUCUCUUAUAGCAGCUCGAAGGUUUCCAACCACAGGCCAUCCUCCUCCGAGCCUCCUUCUAGGCUGCUGUGAAGAGAUUGCUCUCUAACGACGGUUCAAAAUGAAUCUCCUCCGGAGCCUCCAGGGCCCUGCUGACCGGAUUUAUUUAUUGCUUUAUCUCUGCAAGUGUGCCAUUCCUUUCUUCCUGACCUUGUACCACCUCCCCAUUCUGUUCCGUUGCCUUGAUUGCUUGACUCUGGUCAGAUCUUUGUCAAGUUUAGUUACUGCCUGAAGUCUUUAUCUAGUUCACUAUCUGUCGCCAUCAUCGUCAUCGUCAUCAUCAUCGUCAUCGUCGUUGUCACCCGCAUCAUCGCCGUCACCAUCGUCAUCAUCAGGACUGGAGGUUGAACCUAAGGUCUCAGUUAUGCUAGACAAGUGCUCACCAUACAGCCCUGCUUGUACCUUCCAUUUGGAGACAGGCUGUCUCUAAAGGCCAAGGCAGCCCCUCAGGCUUACAGAUCCUCCUGAUUUAGCCUCCAAAGUAGCUGGGAGUACAGAACUGUGUCACUGUGCCCAGCUUCCUCAGCAAAGUCAUAACUUUCUGUCCCUAUAGGUGGCCCCCUCUGGCAGUUGAGUAGGUGGUAUUUAUUCCCAGCACCUGGCAUUGGAUUGGAUUGGAUGGGGGAGGCACACGACGAACACAUCAAAAUGUUCAUGACUAUGUUGGAGAGGUUGCUCAUGGGUAGAUGUAGAGAGAGCUGAAUUUGAUCCCCAAAACAAGCACACGUAUCCUCUCCCCCAUCCCCUCACACACACACACACACAGAUGGCCGAGUAUUCAGAGUGUAUGGAAAGACAAAACAUCUGAUUUUUAGAUUUCCAAUCCCCAGAAUGAGCACAUCCUUUGAAGCCGGUUGAGAUCUUGUGGUAUCUUGUCCUAAGAGACUCCACAUGGUAUAAAAACAGUGGUUUUGCAAGCUGUCCCUUGGCCCCACGAGCGGCUCAUUGUACAAGCAAGUUGUAACUCCAUUUUGAGGGAGGAGGAUGAUUCUGCACCGGGUAAGCAAGUGUAUUUAUCAGGGUGAGUCGGGACUGUGAGACCACAUGGGUUAUGGCAACUUGAAUGGGAAUGGCCCCAUAGGCUUGUAUAUUUGAGUGUUUGAUUCCCAGUUGGUGGACUAUUUAGGAAGGAUUAAAAGGUGUGGCCUUGUUGGAGUGGGUGUUGGAGAAGGUGCUCUAUUGGGGGUGGGUUUGUUUGUUUGUUUUGAGUGUUAUGUGUUGUGUUGUGUUAUUUUGGUUUUUUUUUUAAGGCUUUAAAAGUCCACACCAGGGGUUGGGCAUUUGGCUCAGUCCUAGCAAGCGCAAGGCCCUGGGUUUGAUCCCCAGCUCCGAAAAAAAAAAAAAAAAAGAAUAGAAAAAAAAAAAAAAGUCCACACCAGGAUCAGUCUCAAACUCUCAAUUUCAGGUCAAAUGGAGCUCUCAGCUACUGCUCCAGCACCAUGCUCCCAAUCAUAAUGAUUAUGGAUUAUGGAUUUUUUUUAAAGAUUUAUUUAUUGUAUGCAUGUGAGUACACUGUCACUAUCUUCAGACACACCAGAAGAGGGCAUCAGAUCCCAUUACAGAUGGUUGUGAGCCACCAUGUGGCUGCUGGGAAUUGAACUCAGGACCUCUGGGAGAGCAGUCAGUGCUCUUAACCACUGAGCCAAAUGAUUAUAGAUUAACACUCCAUGGUGGUUUGAAUAAGAAUGGCCCCCAUAGGCUCAUAGACUUAAAUAAGUAUUCAAUUCAUCUGGCAAUGAAUGGCACUAUUUGAAAGGAUUAGGGGGUAUGGCCUUGUUGAAGGAAGCAUGUCACUAAGGAUGGGCUUUGAGGUUUCAAAACCCAAGCCAGGCUCGAUGGCUCUCUCUUCCUGCUGUCUAAAGAUCCAGAUGUAAAACUCUCAGCUACUUGUCCAGCAAGAUGUCUAUCCGCAUGCCACCAUGCUUCUUGCCAUAGUGGUGAUGGACUGGAUCUCUCUGAACUGUAAGCCAGCACUAAUUAAAUGCUUUCUUUUAUAUAAGAGUUACCUUGAUCAUGGUGUCCAUUUACGGAUGCAGAACACUCUAAGACACUCUCUAAAACUGUACACAAGUCCCCCAACUAAAUACUUUUCUCUGAUAAGCUGCCUUGGUCCUGGUGUCUAUUCACAGCAAGGGAAGAGUCGCUAAGAGGAGCAUAUUAAAAUCAUACCAGGAAAACUAGGCCCAAGAAUUGUUCAGGCCAGACUGAGGAAGAGUCCAACUCCUUCACACAGACCUCAGAGAUGGAGAGAGCCACCCAUGAGGUAUCAUCUCUCAAAUGCUCUAGGAGCUUCGGCCUGGCUGACGAGCUUACUUAAAUUGCCAAGCAGUCCCAUCCCCCUGUUCUCCCCUCACCCUGGUUCAUCUGCCUGGCUGUACCAGCCAUCAUUUGUCUGGCCUUGCAUUCCACUCGCCUGCAUCCCUACUCUGCCUUGCAGAUCCUCCAUCGGUAGCCAGCUGGGUUAGUCUCUGUUUGUUCUGUCAAUACAGGUCAUAUUUUCAUUGCCACCAGGCGUCGGGACAUUGGGGCUUCUGAAACAGUUUGAAUGAUGCUUCUUAGUCACCCUGAAACCUACAUAGGUGGAUGAUGAUGGUGGUGGUGGUGGUGAUGAUGAUGGUAUGAUGGACAGACAGACAGAUUUUGCUGUGCAAUAUAUGAAGUAUGGUCUGAAAGUUAAUAUUAUUGCUUAAACUCAGAAUAAAGGGCUGGAGAGAUGGCUCAGCGGUUAAGAGCACCGACUGCUCUUCCAGAGGUCCUGAGUUCAAUUCCCAGCAACCACAUGGUGGCUCACAACCAUCUGUAAAGAGAUCCGAUGCCCUCUUCUGGUGUGUCUGACGGCAGCUACAGUGUACUUAUAUAUAAUAAAUGAAUAAAUCUUAAAAAAAAAAAAAGUCAGGGGGUUGGGGAUUUAGCUCAGUGGUAGAGCGCUUGCCUAGGAAGCGCAAGGCCCUGGGUUCGGUCCCCAGCUCCGAAAAAAAGAACAAAAAAAAAAAAAAAAAGUCAGAAUAAAAGCUCCUGAGCUCUCCUCAGAAGGACUGUCAAGGAAAGCAGAAAUAUCUGGCAAUUUGCUGCCAAUGAAACUGUCAUACCUUGUAAACUUGUUAUUCAGUAAAUUCUGACAUCGAGGACAGACACAAACAUUUUUUUUUUCUUUUUUGUCUACUUUUCUGGUAUCAUGCACUCACAACAAAACCUCGAUUUAAAACCUGACAGCAGGCCUUACUUGAAUGUCUUGCCUCUGUAGGCGUGCAGGCUGAAACACUUAUAGACCCAGAGAGAUCUUUCAGAUGUUGCAAUAAUGACAGAUUCUUAAGAGUCUCUCGGGUCCCUCCCUAACCUUUUGAUGGGGCAUCACAAAAUCCCACAAAAAGACACCAUUGUGACACCAGUCAGACCCCAGCCAGUCCAAAAUAGCAAUCUUUUGUAUAUCUAAGGAGUGAGAGUAGUUGAUGUUGGUGGGUCGCCUCUGUGACUUUUGAAGCUCACCAUUCUGUUCUAUAGCUGCUCUCCAAAAGAGACUCAGAAGGGUUGAGCUAAUUUGUCAACUAGAGAUGUAUUUUACCUUUGAAGUUGGGGGGGUGUUAAGCCUCUAGGUAAGUCUGAAUAUUAAAGGGGCAGACAAAAAGAAAUACCAUUUAGAUACUAAACAAGCUGGCACCCUGUGGGCAUCCGUCAACACCCUGUGAAGUCAUGCUCAUCUGGACGGAGAAUUCCCCGUGUGUCUCCUGUGAGGUGAAGGGAUGCUGACAGUAGCAGGAUGUGGGUCCAUAUGAUACAGCCUCCCCUGUGCUCUGUCUUCUGCAAGCACUGACCUCUCAUAAUCUAGAAUAAAAACGUGUUUCUGUCUUGUCUUAGUGGCGAGAUAACACA